rnacentral:misc_RNA from 1 species
UUUCCGUAGGUGAACCUGCGGAAGGAUCAUUAUCGUAUAAUCUAGGUGAUAGGGCUGUCGCCGCCUUGAUAGCUCGUGCACGCCCGAGUGCCCUCCCACACCUCCCCCUCACCCCUAUGUGCACCACCGCGUGGGUCCCCCCUUGGCUUGUUCGGAGGGUGGCCUACGUUUUCAAACAUUCUAUGUCUGCUGUGUAGAAUGCAUCUUCUGUUUUUGAGAUCACGCAACCAAUACAACUUCUAACAACGGCUCUUUUGGCUCUCGCAUCUCUGAAGCACC